rnacentral:lncRNA from 1 species
UAGUUGGUAUAGUUGCAACCUGAAAUAAUGUUACAAUUAUGAUACUUGGAAGAUAUAACAAUACAAUUAAACCUAAUAAAAAUCGUAAAUAAAUAAGAUUUGAACUACCAAUCCCCACCAAAACCAAAUCCCAAGAACAAGAGAUCUAGACAGUGGGAAAACCCCUACUCAAACUGAAAGCAGAUUCAGAAACACCUCCCUC